UACGUAGGGUCCAAGCGUUAAUCGGAAUUACUGGGCGUAAAGCGUGCGCAGGCGGCUUCGCAAGUCAGACGUGAAAUCCCCGGGCUUAACCUGGGAAUGGCGUUUGAAACUACAAGGCUAGAGUGUGGCAGAGGGGGGUGGAAUUCCACGUGUAGCAGUGAAAUGCGUAGAGAUGUGGAGGAACACCGAUGGCGAAGGCAGCCCCCUGGGUUAACACUGACGCUCAGGCACGAAAGCGUGGGGAGCAAACAGG
rnacentral:rRNA from 1 species